AUUGAACGCUGGCGGCAGGCCUAACACAUGCAAGUCGAGCGGCAGCGGGAAAGUAGCUUGCUACUUUUGCCGGCGAGCGGCGGACGGGUGAGUAAUGCCUGGGGAUCUGCCCAGUCGAGGGGGAUUACUACUGGAAACGGUAGCUAAUACCGCAUCCGCCCUACGGGGGAAAGCAGGGGACCUUCGGGCCUUGCGGGAUUGGAUGAACCCGGGUGGGAUGUGCUAGUUGGUGAGGUAAUGGCUCGCCAAGGCGACGAUCCCUAGCUGGUCUGGGAGGAUGAUCAGCCACACUGAAACUGAGACACGGUCCAGACUCCUACGGGAGGCAGCAGUGGGGAAUAUUGCACAAUGGGGGAAACCCUGAUGCAGCCAUGCCGCGUGUGUGAAGAAGGCCUUCGGGUUGUAAAGCACUUUCAGCGAGGAGGAAAGGUUGGUAGCUAAUAACUGCCAGCUGUGACGUUACUCGCAGAAGAAGCACCGGCUAACUCCGUGCCAGCCGCCGCCGUAA
rnacentral:rRNA from 1 species